ACGGGUGAGUAAUGCCUAGGAAUCUGCCUGGUAGUGGGGGAUAACGUCCGGAAACGGACGCUAAUACCGCAUACGUCCUACGGGAGAAAGCAGGGGACCUUCGGGCCUUGCGCUAUCAGAUGAGCCUAGGUCGGAUUAGCUAGUUGGUGAGGUAAAGGCUCACCAAGGCGACGAUCCGUAACUGGUCUGAGAGGAUGAUCAGUCACACUGGAACUGAGACACGGUCCAGACUCCUACGGGAGGCAGCAGUGGGGAAUAUUGGACAAUGGGCGAAAGCCUGAUCCAGCCAUGCCGCGUGUGUGAAGAAGGUCUUCGGAUUGUAAAGCACUUUAAGUUGGGAGGAAGGGUCGUUACCUAAUACGUGACGAUUUUGACGUUACCGACAGAAUAAGCACCGGCUAACUCUGUGCCAGCAGCCGCGGUAAUACAGAGGGUGCAAGCGUUAAUCGGAAUUACUGGGCGUAAAGCGCGCGUAGGUGGUUUGUUAAGUUGAAUGUGAAAUCCCCGGGCUCAACCUGGGAACUGCAUCCCAAACUGGCAAGCUAGAGUAGGGCAGAGGGUGGUGGGAAUUUCCCUGUGUAGCGG
rnacentral:rRNA from 1 species